ACUCCUACGGGAGGCAGCAGUGGGGAAUAUUGCACAAUGGGCGCAAGCCUGAUGCAGCCAUGCCGCGUGUAUGAAGAAGGCCUUCGGGUUGUAAAGUACUUUCAGCAGUGAGGAAGGUGGAUAUGUUAAUAGCAUAUUCAUUUGACGUUAGCUGCAGAAGAAGCACCGGCUAACUCCGUGCCAGCAGCCGCGGUAAUACGGAGGGUGCGAGCGUUAAUCGGAAUUACUGGGCGUAAAGCGCAUGCAGGUGGUUGUUAAGUCAGAUGUGAAAGCCCGGGGCUCAACCUCGGAAUUGCAUUUGAAACUGGCAAACUAGAGUACUGUANAGGGGGUAGAAUUUCAGGUGUAGCGGUGAAAUGCGUAGAGAUCUGAAGGAAUACCGGUGGCGAAGGCGGCCCCCUGGACAGAUACUGACACUCAGAUGCGAAAGCUGGGGAGCAAACAGGAUUAGAUACCCUGGUAGGCUCAGC
rnacentral:rRNA from 1 species